GACGAACGCUGGCGGCGUGCUUAACACAUGCAAGUCGAACGCUGAAGCCUGGUGCUUGCACUGGGUGGAUGAGUGGCGAACGGGUGAGUAACACGUGAGUAACCUGCCCCUGACUCUGGGAUAAGCACUGGAAACGGUGUCUAAUACUGGAUAUGAGACGCGGCCGCAUGGUCGGCGUUUGGAAAGAUGUAUCGGUUGGGGAUGGACUCGCGGCCUAUCAGCUUGUUGGUGAGGUAAUGGCUCACCAAGGCGACGACGGGUAGCCGGCCUGAGAGGGUGACCGGCCACACUGGGACUGAGACACGGCCCAG
rnacentral:rRNA from 1 species